rnacentral:misc_RNA from 1 species
GGAAAUUUUUUCUCAAUGAUGUGGCACUGCGUAACUUAUCUUUUUUGUUAUGUAAAUAAUUGAAUGUUCCAGUGUUAUUGCUCUCCCGGGGAAAUUAAGGUAUGUAGAGGGACAUUAAUUUUAUAGUGGGUGAUGUUGCCAAGAUGUUCUAAAAGGACAUGUAUGGCUUAAGUAGAUCUGUAAAUGUUAUUUUUUCAAAAAGUAAAAGAUUUCAAUAAGAAAUUCCAAUACCUGGAACUUCUUAUAUUCAUGCCAUAAUUGAGUUUAUGAGAAUCGUUUUUAUGUGAUGUGUGAGUGAGAAAGAGAGAUGUGCGAGUAAAAAGGGAGAGAUUAUGGAGUUUAAGUCGAUCUAAUUUUGUUAAAAAAUGAUAAACAUAUAUACCUAUACCCGCUACAGGUAUACGCUACUGAAUAAAGAGGUUGUCAAUUAC